CACGAACGCUGGCGGCAGGCUUAACACAUGCAAGUCGAGCGCCCCGCAAGGGGAGCGGCAGACGGGUGAGUAACGCGUGGGAAUCUACCCAUCUCUACGGAAUAACGCAUGGAAACGUGUGCUAAUACCGUAUACGUCCUUCGGGAGAAAGAAUUAUCGGAGAUGGGUGAGCCCGCGUUGGAUUAGUUAGUUGGUGGGGUAAAGGCCUACCAAGGCGACGAUCCAUAGCGGGUCUGAGGGGAGGGUCAGCCACACUGGGACUGAGACACGGCCCAGACUCCUACGGGAGGCAGCAGUGGGGAAUAUUGGACAAUGGGCGCAAGCCUGAUCCAGCCAUGCCGCGUGAGUGAUGAAGGCCCUAGGGUUGUAAAGCUCUUUCACCGGUGAAGAUAAUGACGGUAACCGGAGAAGAAGCCCCGGCUAACUUCGUGCCAGCCGCCGCCGUAAAAC
rnacentral:rRNA from 1 species